rnacentral:rRNA from 1 species
GAAGGGUGCAAGCGUUACUCGGAAUUACUGGGCGUAAAGCGUGCGUAGGUGGUCGUUUAAGUCCGUUGUGAAAGCCCUGGGCUCAACCUGGGAAUUGCAGUGGAUACUGGGCGACUAGAGUGCGGUAGAGGGUAGUGGAAUUUCCGGUGUAGCAGUGAAAUGCGUAGAGAUCGGAAGGAACAUCUGUGGCGAAGGCGACUACCUGGGCCAGCACUGACACUGAGGCACGAAAGCGUGGGGAGCAAACAGGAUUAGAUACCCUGGUAGUCCACGCCCUAAACGAUGCGAACUGGAUGUUGGGUUCAACUUGGAACCCAGUAUCGAAGCUAACGCGUUAAGUUCGCCGCCUGGGGAGUACGGUCGCAAGACUGAA